rnacentral:snRNA from 1 species
UUAUGAGAUGUGAUAGAGUUA